AAAAUCCCGCCCGGCAAAGGCUGGCCACCAGCCGGAAGCGAGUCUUGCGUGGUGGUGGGGCGACCCACCCUACGAGGCGUAGACAGCGAGAGUGAAGGCCGUGUGAUAGAGCCUCGAAAGGACCGCAUUGACGAGGCCAGCGUGCUCAAGACGAGCGCUGGCAGCACCCGAGCGCUGCGAACUGGCCAGGCGCAUUGGGCUCGUCCGGGGUCUGAGAGCA
rfam:Freshwater sediment metagenome lwMethenol_BCHA2901_y1, whole genome shotgun sequence.